rfam:Bacteroides salanitronis DSM 18170, complete genome.
AGCCGUACUUGCAGAAUCGGGAAACUCAUCAAAUUAUAUGAAAUACCGAGACUACGCUUCAUCCUCCAAUGGCGGGCCACGCCUUCGGGUAGCAUUUAUGCCGGUGGAUUACAAAGGAGGUGGGCACUCAAAUCCUGUCUAUCGGAGUUUCGUCACGCCUCGAGUGCGGCUCUUCUU